ACUCAAAGGAAUAGACGGGGGCCCGCACAAGCAGCGGAGCGUGUGGUUUAAUUCGAGGCUACACGAAGAACCUUACCUGGGUUUGACAUCACGGUGGUAGGGACCUGAAAGGGAACCGACCGCAAGGAGCCGUGACAGGUGCUGCAUGGCUGUCGUCAGCUCGUGUCGUGAGAUGUUCGGUUAAGUCCGAAAACGAGCGCAACCCUCGGGGGAAGUUACACGUGUCUGACCCGACUGCCUGCGAGAAGCAGGAGGAAGGUGGGGAUGACGUCAAGUCAGCAUGGCCUUUAUAUCCAGGGCUACACACACGCUACAAUGGACGGUACAGUGGGAAGCGAAGCUGUGAGGCGGAGCGGAUCCAAAAAGCCGUUCGUAGUUCGGAUUGCAGGCUGCAACCCGCCUGCAUGAAGCUGGAGUUGCUAGUAACCGCAGGUCAGCGAUACUGCGGUGAAUACGUUCCCGGGCCUUGUACACACCGCCCGU
rnacentral:rRNA from 1 species